rnacentral:rRNA from 1 species
UACAGAGGUGGCAAGCGUUGUUCGGAAUUACUGGGCGUAAAGGGCGCGUAGGCGGUCUUGUAAGUCUUGUGUGAAAUCCCUCGGCUUAACUGAGGAACUGCACGGGAUACUGCGAGACUUGAGAUCGGGAGAGGGAAGCGGAAUUCCGGGUGUAGCGGUGAAAUGCGUAGAUAUCGAGAGGAACACCUGCGGCGAAGGCGGGUUGCUGGGCUGACACUGACGCUGAGGCGCGAAAGCUAGGGGAGCGAACGGG